GACGUAGGGCGCGAGCGUUGUCCGGAUUUAUUGGGCGUAAAGAGCUCGUAGGCGGCUUGUCGCGUCGACCGUGAAAACUUGGGGCUCAACCCCAAGCCUGCGGUCGAUACGGGCAGGCUAGAGUUCGGUAGGGGAGACUGGAAUUCCUGGUGUAGCGGUGAAAUGCGCAGAUAUCAGGAGGAACACCGAUGGCGAAGGCAGGUCUCUGGGCCGAUACUGACGCUGAGGAGCGAAAGCCAGGGGAGCGAACGGG
rnacentral:rRNA from 1 species